CAAGCCUGAGACAAACUCUAUUCUACAGUGCUCCUGGGUGAAGAGCACAGGAGAGGCUGGGGGGUGGGAAAAGCUGGAGAUCACCACAAGAGAUGGAGAUUUGUUCAUGCAGAACUGACCAUUGGAAAGUGUGUGACUUCAAUAAGACCCUCCAGGAAUUCGCAUUGUUACGAUUUGCAGCUUCAACACAACAUCAGUGAAUCUCCGUGAAUUCAGAGCGGUGUUGCAAUUUUAACCAAUCACUGCGAUUUUUCCACAACUUUGACCAAUCAUUGGCUUGAGCUGACGUCACUGACGUCGCCAAACUGCCUUUUGCUUCACUUCCGUGAACGAAACUGUGAUAGGGAAGAGCCCAGCACCGAAUCCCCAUCCGACGGGCGCAUUUCCUCCGCGGCAGUGUGCCAAGACCGGCUGUGGGUGGGCUUGGACCUCACCGCUUCCCGGGGCCAUGGACUUAGUGCUCGCUGCGCCCUCUCCGGGGCCCCCUCGCCCCUGGCACAACUGUCGAAUCGCAACAAAAACGUAAAGAGCACCGCAACUUUCAGCGCAAUUUUUUUGAAAACCUUAUGCAACAUCAGGCAUUUUAGGCCGCAACUAUUUCAA